rnacentral:lncRNA from 1 species
CGGCCGUCGCAGCCGGGUCGCAAGCGGUGAGAGGCAGCAGAGGGCCGAGGGCAGCGGGUUGUGAGGAGACCCCGGGGCGGCGGGCGGCUGCCGUGACAGCGGCUGUCACCCAGCGGGCGGGAAAGAACCCAGUCAGCACCGGCUCCGGGGCAUCUCUUGAGGGCUGCCUCUGAAGAAAGGAGAAUGGCGUUCAGCAAAGGAUUUCGAAUCUACCACAAAUUGGAUCCCCCACCGUUCAGCCUCAUAGUGGAAACUAGGCAUAAGGAAGAAUGUCUCAUGUUCGAGUCUGGGGCCGUGGCAGUGCUCUCAUCUGCAGAAAAGGAGGCCAUUAAAGGCACAUAUGCCAAAGUGCUGGAUGCAUAUGGACUUUUGGGAGUUUUACGAUUAAAUCUUGGUGAUACCAUGUUGCAUUAUCUGGUCCUAGUCACUGGAUGCAUGUCUGUUGGGAAAAUUCAAGAAUCUGAAGUCUUCCGAGUUACUUCCACUGAGUUUAUAUCACUUCGAGUUGAUGCUUCAGAUGAGGACCGCAUUUCAGAAGUACG